GCUUCGCUCGCUUCGCCCGCUAGCGAGGAGCACAAAAAAUGGAGACGUUCAACGUUCGUUAAGGAAGCAUUGUUGAUCACCAUGGAGGUGAAACGGUCACGGUAACUUUCCCACUCCGUGAACUUUCCAUCGAAGGACGGCAAUUGUAUCUUUGGUGUGACCUGGGCUAGCAUUUCCGCCAUGAAGUCCAUUGCUUCCUGAUACCGCUCCUCGGCCUGGAUAAAAUGAUUCUCAACGAAGUACGCAUGGUCAUCCGGUUUUGGGUUGUUGCUGCGGUCAUCUUGGUUUGCCCCAGCUUCUUGAAAUUGGUGGACGAGUACCUGGUUGAUUUUCCUCGAUCCCAAUCCGGCUCGAAGGACCAAUUUUAUGUAGGCGAUUGUGUGGA